GGAUGCGAUCAUACCAGCACUAAAGCACCGGAUCCCAUCAGAACUCCGUAGUUAAGCGUGCUUGGGCGAGAGUAGUACUAGGAUGGGUGGCCUCCUGGGAAGUCCUCGUGUUGCAUUCC
rnacentral:rRNA from 1 species